UGGCUGGGCAGCUCCACUCGCCCGUUCUCGCACUUUGGCAUGUACACGGCGCACAGCAAGGGCUGAAUAACCGCCCAGCACCCCGGGGCGUUCCUCAAACCUGGCGCCCCCGCACACCCAGGAGAGACGGGACAAGGGCGACAAGUAAACGUUAAGGAGGCAAGCCAUAUCCAAAGCAUCCCAAAUCUUUCAACAAAGGAGUUGCUCCGGGAAGACAUCUUGGGAUACUGGAUCGGUGCAACGUUGUGUCCGCGAGACCCAAUACUUUCCUUGUUUCUAUAACUCGGAGCGUUGUUCAAGAAGCAAACAAGUUUUACCAAUAAACUGUUAGAGGAAGCAC